UUUUGGGAACCCGUAAACAAACCCAAAUACCCAGUUUUUUUUUUUUCACGUUCUUUCUCUCCUCUCCUCACGCCCUCAACCUCCACAAAUCGUUCUGAAAGUUUGAUUGGAUCAAUACUUUCGUUGUUCCCUCUUUGCUGUUCUCUCUCAAAGUUUCAAAUUUAUCAAUGGAAGAUAUCUCAGUUCAACAGGCAGCAGCUCCCCCACCAGGUAGCACAGUUCCAGAUUUACCAAUGGAAGAUAUCUCAGUUCAACAAGCAGCUGCUCCCCUACCAAGUAGCACAGUUCCAGAUUUACCAAUAGAAGAAAUCUCAGUUCAACAGGGUGAAUCCGAAAUUAAUCCGGUCCCUCAUGAUGGUGAUAGCACCCAAUCACAGGAUAGUGCCCCACCAGCUACAUCCAGGCCAUUAUUGUUUGGCAAUGAUAGGUCGCAAUUCUUGAUCAAGGUCCAACUGUUUGCAAUUUCAUUUAUUGGAGGGAUGGUAGCUGGAUAUUGUCUACAAAUUGGAGGAGGUGUUCUUGGCAUGAAGGAAUCACUCAAACUUUUUGGUGUCUACCGAAAAAUGGAAUUUACAAAAACCACGAACUAUUGUUCGUUUUAUGACAAUAAACUCAAUAGUUUCGUUGCAUGCCUCUACUUGGCUACUACUGUAUCAAUACUGCCUUCAUUUGUAUGUUCGAAGUUAUUUGGUAGAAGGGUAGUAGUCUGGAUUGGCUUUGGACUCGUGUUGCUGGGAUCCAUUCUCUUGACAAUAAAGAACCUUCCUACACUAUUCAUUGGCCGGAUCAUCUGUGGUUUUGGAGUAGGAUGCAUUCUACAGGUUCUUCCCAUCUAUAUUUCAGAAUCUACUCCAGCUGAGUAUGCAGACUUCUUAGGUUCUAAAUUUGACCAUGGUUUUAAUUUUGGGGGAUUUGUGGUGGCAUCAACCGUAAGUUUUUUAGUGGCUAUGAACAAGUCGGGGUGGAGGUGGUCUUUUGGACUUUCAGGAGUCUUAGCUCUUGCAUCCUUGAUGCUAUCUGCUACUACUCCUGAAAGCCCACAUUAUUUUUUGGAGAUGAAAGACAUUGAAAGAGCUAAAAAUGCUUUUAAAAAGACUAGAGGUAGACUAAUAGUUGCUGAGUUUGACAAUUUGGUAGCAAAGAGUGAGAAAGUUUAUAGUUCUUUGUUUCAUCCCUUUAGACUCCAAUAUAUGCCAUAUCUAUUCAUUGCAUGUGUACGAGAGGUGUUCAUGCAAAUGACGGGAAUGUUUGCCAUAAACUUCGUCACUCCUAUAUUUUUAACUUCUAUCGGUGUGUCUGCCUCUACUUCUUUUAUUUCAUCAAUGGGAGUUGGGUGCACGUACUUCAUUAUGGCAAUUUUGGGUGGUAUGCUAGUAGAUCGAUACAAACGACGGGUAAUGCUGCGUUCUUCUUCAUUAGUGAUGAUCUUCACAUUGUUUAUAAUAUUUGGUCUACUUCGACUGAGUAAUUAUGAUGUGAUGUACUUUGGGGUGGAUGUUGCUGUUGCUAUUUCUAUGGCCAUGUUUUUCUAUGUGUGUGGAUACGCAGUGAUCAGUGGAACACGAGGAUGGUUUAGCGUUCCUUUACCCCAGAGAGCUAAAGGGAUGGGAUCCGCUUUGACAAUGACAGUUUCCAUGUCGUUCGUGAGCUUAAUGGCCUACAUAUCAACGCCUGUUGUAUGCGUCUGCAAGGAAUACAUUGUUCUCAUUUUCGGCUUGUAUGCUGUAGUGAUGGAAACAUUCAUUUCUCUUUUAGUUCCAGAAACGAGAGACAUAAGUGAAGAAGAAAUGAAUGUGAAAGCAUGGGGACAACACCGAAUUUGGAAGAAGUGCAUCCGAUGAAGCCUUGCUAUGUGGAGAAGCAUUUAGUCCCCUCUGUACAGCUGCAAAUGUGAUGAGAAUAGCUCCUCAAUUCUGCCAAAAUAUGAGUUUUCUGAAAGUGACAAUGGAAUGUAAUUUUGUUGAUCUUGUAGGCCUACUGAAUUUGGACAGAAUUUGUGCCCUUGAGAUAUCAAUUUAUGUUGUUUGAAGACGAUCCACUACAAGAAGAACAAAAUGAUGUCAGCUUACCGAGUAAAAAUUUAGUUUUAGUUUCAGAAAACUUUGAUGAUUUCAAGGCUGAUAAAGAAGCCAAACUGGAGGAAUGGUUGGGGGGGACCGACAACCCGCAUAAUCAUAGAGACACAAGUGAUGCCAAAGGGGCUUUUACAUGACAAUACUCAGCUUCUGAAAAAGCUUUACCUGUAAAUAUUGUUGUUUAUUAUAUAAUUCUCUGGAUAAUGAUUAUAUACAAGAUAUUUGUGGUGCUGUGAGAUUCAUUUUUGGGGUAAGAAUAAAAAUUUGUUCUCAUAUA